GCCUGUGUGGCUCAGUUGGUUAAGCAUCUGACUUCAGCUCAGGUCAUGAUGUCAUGGUUCAUGGGUUCAAGCCCUACAUCAGGCU
rnacentral:tRNA from 1 species